rnacentral:lncRNA from 1 species
GUGUCGUGGGUUUGAAAGGGGAUUUAGGGUUCUCACCUAAAUCCAUCAUCAACACAAGAAUUCUGCAUAAAUUGGGGUGAUUUGAGCUGGAAAUCGAGUGCAUGAGACAUCAUCUACACUUGUCUAGGUGUCCUUGAGAUAAGGUGAAAAUGAUGAGUGUGAUGAUCUUGAUAAGAAUUUGGAACGUGUCAAGGAGAGCUCAAGCAUAGGAGGAUAACGGGUCAAAAUAAGGCAAGGUGACAAAUACACUUAUUGGAGUACUCAAGGUCGCACGGACUUGACAUCAUUAUGAAGUAAAUGAGGAUUGAAGAUCGGGUCAAAGAGCGAGGAUUGUACGGGAAGGGUAGUCACAUAACUGGUGAUUUUAUAUUACAUUUGAUGCGAUAAUUAAGAAUGAACGUUGUAAAUCUUUUGAAGAAAGUGUUUGUUAUUUUUAAACGAACCUUCAAGUAAGUCAUAUGAGUAAUUAUGAAAGAAAUUUUAAGUCUCUACUUUCCGCUGUGUCUAUAUGGUUAAAUCGUGAUAUGGGUGU